rnacentral:rRNA from 1 species
AACGAACGCUGGCGGCAGGCUUAAUACAUGCAAGUCGAACGGGCGCAGCAAUGCGUCAGUGGCAGGCGGGUGAGUAACACGUGGGAACCUUCCUCGUUGUACGGAACAACUCAGGGGAAACUUGAGCUAAUACCGUAUAAGUCCGAGAGGAGAAAGAUUUAUCGCAAUGGAGACGGGCCCGCGUCGGAUUAGGUAGUUGGUGAGGUAACGGCUCACCAAGCCGACGAUCCGUAGCUGAUCUGAGAGGAUGAUCAGCCACACUGGGACUGAGACACGGCCCAGACUCCUACGGGAGGCAGCAGUAGGGAAUCUUGGACAACGGGCGCAAGCCUGAUCCAGCCAUGCCGCGUGAGUG